rnacentral:rRNA from 1 species
UACGUAGGGUGCGAGCGUUGUCCGGAAUUAUUGGGCGUAAAGGGCGCGUAGGCGGCUUGGCAAGUGGAAGGUGAAAUCCCUCGGCUUAACCGAGGAACUGCCUUCCAGACUGCUUUGCUUGAGGCCGGGAGAGGCGAGUGGAAUUCCCAGUGUAGCGGUGAAAUGCGUAGAUAUUGGGAGGAACACCAGUGGCGAAGGCGGCUCGCUGGACCGGUUCUGACGCUGAGGCGCGAAAGCGUGGGGAGCAAACGGG